GUUUUGCUCUAGAUACAAUCUGUUGAUCAUAAAGAAACUUCUGUUAAAAUUUCAUCAUAUUCAUUGUAGGUUUCACAGUUAUUGAUGUUUAAAUUUGCCAUCAAUGAAAAUACCAAAGAGUUUUUAUCAAGUAAACGUAAAGAGAUUCACACAUUAUUUACACGAUACAUAAUAAUUAAUGUACAUGCAAUGUAUUUACAAAAAAUGCAGUAUAUACGACCUGCACAGCAAAACAGAUUCUCAGCUGUAGCAUAGGCUUAACCUAAACAAGUUAUCACAAGUAAAAUUGAUCUGCCCUUAAUAUAUUCAAUGACGCUGUCCAUGUGAACAUUUCAUUCUUUAAAAAAAUUGCCUUAAACUUGA
rnacentral:lncRNA from 1 species